rnacentral:rRNA from 2 species
UUACAUAUCAAUAAGCGGAGGAAAAGAAACCAACAGGGAUUGCCCUAGUAACGGCGAGUGAAGCGGCAACAGCUCAAAUUUGAAAUCUGGCUCUCGGGCCCGAGUUGUAAUUUGUAGAGGAUGCUUUUGAUGCGGUGCCUUCCGAGUUCCCUGGAACGGGACGCCAUAGAGGGUGAGAGCCCCGUCUGGUUGGAUGCCAAAUCUCUGUAAAGCUCCUUCAACGAGUCGAGUAGUUUGGGAAUGCUGCUCUAAAUGGGAGGUAUAUGUCUUCUAAAGCUAAAUACCGGCCAGAGACCGAUAGCGCACAAGUAGAGUGAUCGAAAGAUGAAAAGCACUUUGAAAAGAGAGUUAAAAAGUACGUGAAAUUGUUGAAAGGGAAGCGUUUAUGACCAGACUUGGGCUUGGUUGAUCAUCUGGGGUUCUCCCCAGUGCACUCUUCCAGUCCAGGCCAGCAUCAGUUUUCCCCGGGGGAUAAAGGCGGCGGGAAUGUGGCUCUCUUCGGGGAGUGUUAUAGCCCACCGUGUAAUACCCUGGGGGGGACUGAGGUUCGUGCAUCUGCAAGGAUGCUGGCGUAAUGGUCAUCAACGACCUGUCUUGAAACACGGACCAAGGAGUCGUCUUCGUAUGCGAGUGUUCGGGUGUCAAACCCCUACGCGUAAUGAAAGUGAACGCAGGUGAGAGCUUCGGCGCAUCAUCGACCGAUCCUGAUGUUCUCGGAUGGAUUUGAGUAAGAGCAUACGGGGCGGGACCCGAAAGAAGGUGAACUAUGCCUGUAUAGGGUGAAGCCAGAGGAAACUCUGGUGGAGGCUCGCAGCGGUUCUGACGUGCAAAUCGAUCGUCAAAUAUGGGCAUGGGGGCGAAAGACUAAUUGAACCUUCUAGUAGCUGGUUUC